rnacentral:rRNA from 1 species
AAUGGGGGCAACCCUGAUCCAGCCAUGCCGCGUGUGUGAAGAAGGCCUUCGGGUUGUAAAGCACUUUAAGCGGGGAGGAAGGCUCGCGACUUAACACGUCGCGAGAGUGACGUUACCCGCAGAAUAAGCACCGGCAAACUCCGUGCCAGCAGCCGCGGUAAUACGGAGGGUGCGAGCGUUAAUCGGAAUUACUGGGCGUAAAGCGCACGUAGGCGGUUUGUUAAGUCGGAUGUGAAAUCCCCGGGCUCAACCUGGGUGCUGCAUUCGAUACUGGCAGGCUUGAAUACGGUAGAGGGGGGUGGAAUUCCAGGUGUAGCGGUGAAAUGCGUAGAGAUCUGGAGGAACACCAGUGGCGAAGGCGGCCCCCUGGACCGAUAUUGACGCUGAGGUGCGAAAGCGUGGGGAGCAAA